rnacentral:rRNA from 1 species
GAUGUGCGUAAGGCUGCGUUUAGCAUCGGCGAUCUUAAGGCCCCAGGUCCCGAUGGGCUUCAUGCCAUUUUUUUCAAAAAAUAUUGGCAUAUUCUGGGAGAUGAUAUUAUCCAACAAGUCUUGCUAGCUAUUAAUUCCAGGAAGAUCCCACCUGAAUGGAAUGAGACAACGAUCGUUAUGAUCCCGAAGAUGGACACACCAGAGUUGGUAACUCAAUUUCGUCCAAUUAGUCUAUGCAAUGUCCUAUAUAAAAUUGUGUCCAAAAUGCUAGCUUUCCGUUUGAAAAGUAUUCUACCUGAUAUUAUUUCGCCCACCCAAAGUGCCUUUGUACCUGGGAGGAUGAUCACGGAUAAUAUUCUAAUUGCAUAUGAAUGUAUACACAAGAUCAAGAAUAAAAGAGCUGGUCGAACAGGGUUAUGUGCAGUCAAGUUAGAUAUGCAUAAAGCAUAUGACAGAGUGGAAUGGUCUUUCCUUCGUCAUAUGAUGUCAGCUUUGGGUUUCCACGGCCAAUUUAUUAAGAUGAUGAUGUCAUGUGUAAGCUCGGUCAGCUACAGAGUGAGAUUUAAUUCUCAUGAAACAGGGUCUUUCACACCUACGAGGGGCAUUCGACAGGGUGAUCCCCUUUCCCCAUAUAUGUUCCUACUGUGUGCAGAAGGUCUGUCCAGUUUAUUGGAGUUUGAAGAAGAAGCUGGUGGCAUAGAGGGAAUAAGAGUGUGCAGAAAUGCACCAUCAGUAUCACAUCUUUUAUUUGCUGAUGACUCUCUCAUUCUCAUGAACGCAGAUGUCCUAAAUGCAGCUUCCUUACAACAUGUUCUGGAUACCUACUGUCAGAGUUCGGGACAAUUGGUGAGCCUAUCAAAAUCUAGUGUGUACUUCAGUCCUAACACCCCUCUGGUAACAAAAACUGAGGUUUGUCAACUAUUACAUAUUGAUACUGAAGCUUUGUCUGACAAAUAUCUUGGGCUGCCUGCAAUGGUAGGAGCGGAUAGGAGUGACUGCUUCCGAUAUUUCUGUGAAAGAAUAAAAGAAAGAUUGAAAGGAUGGAUGGAGAAGCAACUAUCUACAGGUGGUAAGGAAAUACUUAUUAAAUCU